UUUUCCAGAGACCAGCUGCCAGCUUCCUCGAUCGCCACCGGGUCAAAACACCCGUGGCGCAGUUUUGAAGACGAAGACGAAAACAACGUGGAAUGAAGCCCAAGGGGCGAUCGCUGUGGUGCCCGUCUUGAUCUGAUUGCGAGGACUCCCGGCGGAGCGCGCUUUAGCGGCGAAGGGCCAUGGUCGAUGGGUGCAGGAUUGUUCCUUGCAGCAACGGUCCCAAGGACUGUCACUGCUCGGUCCGCCAGCUGGGAGGGCGAGAAAGUUAUUGAGGCCACGUGGCCUCGGCUCUGUGAUUUCUCAGCUACGACGGAGAGAGGCUGCACAGGAAGGGUCUGGUUUUUACGUUAAAGAUCUGAAAUUUGGCCACAUUAGCGCAAUCAAAAAUAUUUUAAUUGAACGUGACGGUGCCAGUAGUGAUGUGACGUUACCAUGAUAGUGGAUGAUUUUUUUCCCCCCUUCCAAAUUCACUUCUGUAAAGCCAUGGAAUUUUUAAAUGGUCUUUUCUAAAUAUAGGAUGAGGUUUUUCUCGUGCUAUUUAUGUACGAUGCUGUAAAGCAUCUUAUAAUUGGUCUACCCACCACAGCAAGCUGGAGCCAAGAAAGUGUGGAGUUCCUGGUUAGAUCAAAUGUUGACCACAGAGUGAAAUGGUAAACCGUCUGGGGUAUUACUCACUAUAUGGUUUCUUGCUGUAAAGACAAAUAACUGAAUCGAGUGCAUUAACACUGUGCGGUUCGCGUUAAAUAAAUAAUGAAGUAGUAGCCAAGUCAAUAUGAUUGACAUAAGCCACUGCUCCUCCAUUAGCCACUAAGUGGGUUUCACGGUCUUCCUAACGGGGGAAGCAUAAGGCAGCACAGGGGGCUGGCCCAGGUCCAACAAGGCUUCAUUUAAAUUUGCAAUGGGGCAGUGGAAAGCCUUGUUUGCUAGAGUGGAAAUUGACCAGGCUCCAUUAAUCCUGGGCAUGAGCUCUGGGGAGUCUUUGUAUCUGAAUCUGAGCAAGCUCUUGCCUUAGCCAGGGGCUUGCAAACUAAUUAAGGUCGCCCACCAGGGACCGCUGGAUAAACUGCAUAAAAAACUGAUUGACAUCGGUAAUGGAUGCUUAAAAAUGGUAGAAAAGCUUCUUGAGAUGACCUUCACAUCGAAGGGGUAAUUACAGCCGAGACGAGCCACAACAGAGAUUGGUCAAGAAGUAAUGAGUCGAAUAAACACGAGCCGCCCUCCACAUGUUUCAUGGAAACAAGAGGGCACUCUUUUUGCUCUAUGUGCUCGUUUCACGAAAUUCAUUUUAAUUGCGACAAUAAACCAGAUUAUAUUUUUUUCAUCCUACCAUCUAGGGUUAAGUAUAUCAAUUGAAAAAAAAUGAAUUAGGUAAAUUACGGCAAAUGAGGAAUGCACUGCUUGUUAUUAAAUACACAGAUUACCUGCGAUUACCAUAAUUAUCGGUAUUAACGUGCACUCGUGUGUAGCAUGCAUGCACACAGCAUGUUAAAAUACACAAUCGUACUAAAUAAAUAUUUGGCGGUACAUUUGUCAAUCCACUGCUGGAUGAUGACACUGCAAUCUGAACCCGAUGAUGCGUAUCAUGUGAGUGAUGCAGUGGGGGGAGGUGGGGGGGGGGGAUGACCAUACUUCACCACGUUGGUCAGUGCAAGGUCGGUAAUGUUGGGGGAGGGCCAGUUUUGUGCAGGUAUCACUCAUCACUGAUAUUAACCAUGACCAGCAACAGGAUUUAGGUCAGGACUUAGGUCACCAGGUUCAGAGUGCAGUGCAUUAUGCAGCACUCCCCCUGUUAAAAUCAAAUUAGAAUUUACUCGUAGCCCCAUGUCAACCACGUUAGAUGCAGACCUUACAACACCACACUAAUAUAUUUAUACAGUAUACACACAGGGUGGCCCAAAAUUUAGGACACAGUGUUAUUAUAUUUUAACAAAUCACACAGGGUCAUUUAUUUUAUUUUAACAAAUUGUCACACUGAUUUCCAUUGGCAUCAAUGCGUGAAUUAUUAUUUAUUUAGAUAUAUAAUUUAGAACUUAAAAAAAGAAUAAAUACAUAAACGUUCAUUAAACUAGUUCAUCUUUCGUAAAAAAAUCAAUUUUUAAAUGUCAUCUGAAAAUGAAGAAUAGAUAUUAAUUAUAGGUAAAAUAUUAACUUAUAGAAUAAACAAUAACAAUGUUUUAAUUCCAACGUUAAAAUAAAUGAACUCAUCCUGUUUCUCCUGACUUUUGGGCACCCUGUACAUAGCUUCAUAAAUCCGUGUAAAAACACUCACCUGCUUUAAGGCGUGCUCGCUUAUAUUUAUGUUUUAAAAUAAUAGGAUUAUAAUGAGCUUUCAGGACAUCAUGUUGAGCAAUGUUACUUUGUAGUUUAUCAUUGCCAUGGUCAGUCCACUGCUGGAUGAAGGCCUACCAUAGCCUUCGCCACCUCUCAAGAUCCUGGGAUGUAAUGAUAUCCCUAUCACCUGCACACGAGCAGAUUUCAUCACUCCAUCUCCUUUUGUGAGCGUCCAUUCCUGUGCUGCAAUUCCGUCAUUAUUCUUGACCAUCCAUCAUCAUCCCUGCUAGCGAUUUGUCCAGCCCAGACCAAAUUAUACUUUUAUGAACGGUUGAAUUAUGUAAUUAACCUGCGUAUGUUCUCUAAUCCGUGCGUUCCUCUUUACGUGGAAAUUGUGCAAUUAGCGGCGCAUUACACGAAGCAUCAGAGAGUUUCAGGUUCGUUAAUGUCGUGGGAACGUCUCUAAUGUCCCGAGUGAGUCAAACGGAUACACUGUAACAAGGCAGGACACGAAGAUGUGUUAAAUUCACGAGAAACACAGGCGCUCACUGUGCCCGUUUGAACUUCGCUUUGUUGCCAAGAAAACUUGAGAUUCAUAACACGAACUUGAGAGUCUUACUUAACGUCAUUAACGCUUACAUUCCAGAAGAAAUGGAGAAAGGGCUAUAACAAUAAAAGUAUGCAAAGAAACAUGGCAAUGCGAGCAUGUAAUUACAAUAAGAUAUAAAGAGGAGCACAAGUUCUCCACUCGAGGGAGCUCUCGAGAGCCCCUUUGGAGGGAAUGUGGCCUACUCUAUACCAUGAUUAGUUUAGUUACUACUAACUGAAAUUAAAUGUUUACUACAAAGUUUGCCAAUGGCCCAAUAGUUUCAACCCAUGGCAGUUGUGAUGAAUGCUUGAUAUGGUUUUCUAUAUUCGGACAGGUAGUGUUUCAGAUAUGCGUGUGAAUGCACACGCAAUCUGCAUUGCAGUGCGUAAAGUUCACCUGCGUAAACUAAAUGCGAGGGAACUAAACAAAGAACGUAUAAUCGUCACAAACAUCUUGAGUGAAGCUGCGGUUAUUUUUGGUGCAUUACAAACUGGAAAAUUUGGCAGCUUAUUUCAUAGCAAUUCAAAACAAUUACACCCUUUGCAAGGAAUAACCGCAGUGCUUUCGACACGUGGAGAGAGGUGAGGAAGCUGUGUUACAUGCUCAAACUGACAAUUCGAUGCGGGGACGAAGGCUUUUUUGUUUUAAACAGACCCCCUUUCUAAUCUCAAUCAAGCUGGAGACAGUAAAAAAAAAUCAGAGGCUUUUAAAAAGUGACCGAUUUUUUGGGGGCAGGAGUCCAGACAGACAGAAAGGCUAUGGGGGGAGAAAUGAGAGCCUCAUGGGUAAAUCGAUACUUGCCAUUUUUACAGCUCUUGUCGGCUUACUGAACCAAAAUCGUUCAAACACGGUGACCUUCCCCCACUCGGUGCCACACACGCAGUGCUUUCAUGUCCAGGGGACCGGAGCUAGGCUCACUGAUCUAUUAUUUAUUUACUGAUAGCAUUACAGAAACCCUUCUGAAUAACUGCGAUCGCAGUCUUCGUGUGACACAGGUAAAGUGCAGUGUCCCUGCCUCACAAUACAGGCACUUAACGUGAAGAGCGCGAGAGAGAAAAAGCAAGCUUGUGUGUUUGAAACUUGCCAGCCAGCGAGUGCGGAAUUCUGUUACACCAAUGACUUGGCUUUUCCACGGGCAACAACAUGUGCACAGCAUUGCCAUCAAAAUCACAGGGCACUCGCCGUUUAAUAAUAAUAACCACAACGAUGCGAUGUUGAAACAUAAUAAUGACGAUUACGUGUGCUGUUCGCAUUCUAUUAGGUACAAGUGGCCGAUGUAACGUCGUCGCUGUGUAUUUACUUACAAAUACCCUGCGUGUAUUUUGCCAAUAGUUUCAUACCGCGGGGUCGCCUUUUUAUAGUGCGGUUUGUUUAAAUUGCCGACUCCCAUUUCCAUAGCAAAAUAUACAGAGCCGCUAUUAGCCAUUAGCUCGCCCUCUUUAGCUCCUUACAUAUCCCUCUACCCAUGACAAACCACAUAAAUCCAGUUUGACUUUUCUCUCGCUUCCUUACACAAACAGCGGGAGGGACGUGUGAAGGGAUGUUGACUUUCUCAUGGUUCAGCGGAGCGGUGCGGAUUGUUUUGGUGAAAACAAACAAGAAUCUCCAGCCAUAAUCUCUAGAAUGAGCGGCGCGAGGCGGACGCUCCUCAGAUGCCAAAGGCUGUGCUCCAUCUUGCACUGGAAGAGAGCCAUGCUUUGUUGGACCGAACAAAUGCGGCACUCGAGUCGCUCAACGUAACAGAGAUUCGAGCACUCUGCAGGAGCAGUGGGCAAGGCACCUUCCCUGAGCCGGCAAAAAUGCCCCUCUCGCCCAAUGCCAACUUCGUUGUGAGCCAACGUUAUGAAUAGCACGCCGCUGCACUUUACACGACUCUUUUGAUGGCGUGUGCAGUCGCAUGUAAUGAGAUAUUUUGUAAACCCGAGAGCUGAACAUUGACGGCAGGCCUGUGGGGUGGAAUAGACAACCUAAAUAAUGUAUUUAAUGAUUUAUUAUUUAUGUAUUCCACCAUGAGUUUUGAGUACUAUGCAUCCACAAACACAAACACCGCUGAUUUUUUUUACUGCCUGUUUAUUUAUUUAAAUUCUUUUUGGUAUUCCUUGCAGUCGAGCCCAUUUGCAAUAACAUCCUGUAGGCAAGCCGCAGUGCAGAGCAUACAAUGAAGAAAAUCUGCGCAACAUUCUAACGCACAAUUCUCAAAGGCUACCAGUGUUAUUGACGGACGUUUCUAUUCGCGGGAAACACCCGGGUGGCAGCGCAAUACACUGUUUGGUGUGAAGAAGUGGAGAGACGCACCUGCGUAGGAUAUGUCCUCGCGGUCAUUCACAUCAUCUGGCCUUCUGCAACACCCAGGUGCUAAACAGUGGGGCCACCGUCAAGCUUUACUCGGCGACAUUCUCCCAGCACCUCCCUUGACCGCACGAGUGUCGGACCGCGAGGAUCGCUGGGCACGUUGAGAGGCGCGCAAGUGGGCAAGAAGGGUUCUCUUCUAACGCACCAAGCAGCAGGCCACGGACCGCGACUCGGGGGUUGGGGACCCCUGCUAAAGACGAUAUAUGGCCUACUCUUUCACGCUGGCCAGACGUCUUUGAAGAGGUGGGAGCACCCACAAUUCAUCCCACCAAACACACCUUGUCAAUAACACUGUUGCGGUGUGUAUUCGUUUAUUCCGAUGGGUGGACAACUGUGGCACCGGGAUAUCGAAUUGAACGGGCGACUUCUGAAGUCUAAAACCAGUGUACUGACCAUUUCAGAAAUAACCGGUCUAUUUUGUAGCAAAAUGAGUAUACUUACAUUAUAAGUUUAACACGGGGUUUAAUUUUUAAUUCUCGUGCUGCGAAUGUUGAAAAAGGGUGUCCCCCCCCCCCCAAUUCAUUUUUGUUCCACAUGCAGAAGACAUUCAAACCCUCAUUACAAAACAGAUCACGAUGGCUCCUUCGUCCAAACAGCUUCUCAGAAACACCACGGCAGCUAGCUAAAGCAGAUUAAAGGAUUCCAUUAAUCACCCGUUGCUAAAGCUUCUCAAGGGCUUACGCUAAGCCGCUUUCACACCAGUGCAUGAUGGGACCGGUUAGGAUUUUGAUCAUCUGACCACCUCGGGGAAUUCGGAUUACGCCCAGGCAGUGCAGACAAGAACCUAUCUCUAUAAUCCUACCUUUUGGCAGACUGCAGUCACAAAGCCCUACUUUAAAAAGGUGGUUUUAGGCAAUGAAAUAUUUAAGGACCAUUCAAAGAGUAAGCUCUGUUCAAAGAUGUUUUUGUUUAACCAACGAAACUGUAAUGAAUAGCCAACCUUCCCCGAAUUUUUUUUACAUUUCUCCCCCUAUAUCGAACGUCAUACUGAGCAGCAAGUGACACUAAAGCUUCCUACUGUGAUGAUUCGCAUCCCAGCAAAUACGAGGGUUAAUUUGUUUCCUUGACAAAUUCCACUUGUGUGCAGGAGCACAUGUAUUUUAGUUUGUCAAACUCAGAAUAGAUCUGGCAGGGGGAGCUGGUUGUCUUUUGGCUCUUAUGGACAAACACUUGGCACGAGGAUAUUGAUGUUUUAUAUUAUAAUUGCAUUCAAUCCAGAAUGGAUACGUCAAAAAUCCCAUGACGUAAACUCCAUCAUCUUGCAGUCACAUGGUCUGCCCACACGCCUGAACAGAGCGCAGGAUAUUCAAGGUGCAAUGUGGCAUGUGCUUCAAAGCCACACAUCCUGGGAGAUCAGCACUCUUCAGAAACGACGAAAUAAAUAAUGAAAGGCACUUGACGCUUUGUUAAAUUAUUUAAAGUUUGACCACAAGGGUUACAAUUAGCAUUUUGUGUACGAGCUCAAACACAAUGCAUACACAAACAACACACCACAAACAUUCCCUCCAAUAGCAAUCAGAAUUGUGCAUGCAUUCUCAUUUUAACACACGUUUGCUAAGUAACUCACCCUCGGACCAAAUCGCCCAAAAUGUGUCCGACGUCAUCAGACCUUAGGACUCUGAGCUGAAUUUGAUCCUGGAUAGUGCCUGGUGUUAGGUGACCACCAUAGAAAAAGCAGAUGGUGCAGGCUGUUGUGAUGUUUGUCAGAAGUCGAGUGCAGUGCAAAAAUAGCCAAUAUUCUUUGGGUCUUUCAGUAAAGUCAUGUAAAAAGGUUAAAAUUAAUUUUAAAAAAUGUUACCUAUUGACGUGACUUUACCGAAAGAUCCAAAGAAUAUUCAUUCCUGCAGUCACAAAAACUUUAAGUCAAGAAGAAAUGGCCAAUGUUGUACGAUGCUCCUAUAUCUACGCUUCAUGUCUUCGCCGACACUCAGCAGCAUGAAGUAUGAACAAAUAUUCCCUGCAAAUGGUAAUGGCCUGGGGCAGGCUCUCAUCCAGCAGUGGAUUGACAAAUGGGCUGUGCAUACAAAGUAAUGAUGUGCUCUUGGGACUUUUUUUUUAUGAAACUGCCACAUACGUUUUACAUGAUUUACUUUUGUGUAGUUACCGCAUUCUCCAGAUUAAGACACACCGCCAGGUUUUUGCUUUAAAACAUAGGAUGAAAAGGUGAAUCUUAUAGCCUGUAGAGUACAGUCAUUUGUAAGUUGUUACACUCCUUAGCCCAAAAUAGUAAAACUUUCAAAGCAUAAUAAUGCACGUAAGGGGUUCAUUGUUCCAUGGUACAAACCACAGAAAGGAUGUUUUCAGCAGACAUACUUGGUCUCUAUAAAUCCUAUACUGUAUUUGUGGCACACUUGCUGCUACUACAUGUACAAUAUAUUUCACACUAUGUUUUGGACAUGGAAUUUAUUUGCCAUGUGGUGACAUCUGGGAGUUCAAAGCUGUUGAGAACUUUGAAUAAAAUAAAAAUGUAGCUUUUCAAAUAAAUGUAAGACAAAUGGAGAGAGUGUAUCAAAGUUUAAAUCCAGACAUCAAAGUAGCUGCAUACUGCGUGAAUAGUGCACAUGCAAGAUUGAACCGAUAUGCAUGCUUAUUUAUUAGUUAAAACAAGAAUUACAGAAAUCACUAUUAUACCUCCUGAGGAAAGUAUCGUAAACAUGUAAUUUGUCAGUGAAAGUGACCUGGCUUCAAGGGAUAACAUUCUUGAAACUACAGCAAAGGUACUGGGGGGCAUGCCCCUGGCAAUAAAACCAGCAAAUUAAUCUUUUAUAGCUGAAUUUUGUGCUUGCCGUUUGCAGUGCUGCGACGGACGUGUGAAAUAAAUAAUAUUAAGUAUCUGGGUGCAAUUGGAAUUCUCAUACUUUCUGCAUGUCAGGCAUAGGCAUAAAUCUUAAGUAACCCCAUUUGAAGACCAUUCAAAUAUGAAAACUGGAUUCAAUGUUGUUGUAAUGAAAUAUUUAAUAUAUACAUUUUUUACAGUAAAAGGCAGUCUUUUAAAAUAUGGUAACAAAAGAAACUUCAACAACAAUGCAGUUUGCUGCCAACAGUAUGGAAAUGUACAAUCCAGACAUCAGCUUUUGAGAUACCAAAAUGACUAAACAAGCGCACAGGGGGGACACGUUCAAGUUUAGUGCAACAAUAAUAAUGAUUUAGGCAAGACCUAAACAGCAGAAUAUCAAAGUUUAACCCACAAUUAGAUAUUUCAAACUGUACACACCCAAAUGGGAGACGCUCACAAAUAUAGUUAAACAUUUUUAGGCCUGCGUAUACGCAACAUAAUUCAGACCAUUAUUUACAAAGAAGGUUUGAUUUUAAAAAUCUUAAAACUAAAUGCCACUGCGCUGGUUGAAUAACUGCUAUCAAUUAAUGUUCACAAAGCAGUAUUUUUUUUAUAUAUAUUUUGUUCAGCUAGGAAAAAAAAGAUCACAUACCUAUACAUGUUUCUUAAAACUUCGAGUUGCUUAAAUCACAUUUAGUAAAUUACUUCAUACAGAGUGGCUUUCUUGUCUCCGGACCCAGUAACUAUGUACUUGUCAUCCACAGAGAUGUCGCAGCUCAGGACUGAUGAAGAUUCCUUGGACUGGAAGAAAGAGAAAACAAUCGUAGUUUUGCUGAACAAUAUAAAAAUUAAAAAAACCCAAGCGCUUUAAAAACCAUACUGGAUAUUAUUUACGCAUUAGACGUAAAAUUAGUUACCUGGAAUAUGCUGGCCCCGUAAGGUGUUCUCCAGGCAUUGAGCAGGUUAUCUUUUCCCGUGCUCACAAACCACUUUCCUGAAAUGCAAAGCGGGGAUAUUAAAUUCAGCUUGAAUGUGAGGUUAAAUGGUAUUUAAGUAAUGGGAAUUUGCUUUCUACUAUAUUGAAGUACAUUCUACGAGUUUUUUUUUACAAUAAUGAAAAUCAGAGACUAAAUCCCUGGAGAGAGAUUUUCGAUGAAUUAAUGUAAUUUACAGCAUUAUGCAUAAAUCUCUCUUCACCCAAAGGUUUUGCUCGUAAUUAAAACAACCUCCCUCCUCCCACCUCGCCAGCACCAUGCCGUGCCCUCACUGCUCACCACAAUAAGCGAACUUGAUGGAGAGGACGCAGCUCUCGUGCAGGUGCAGCUGGUACUUGUCGGGCUUGCUGUGGUGCAGCACCUCCACGUUGCUGCUCUCCAUGCCCACGGCCAGCCACUC